rnacentral:rRNA from 1 species
AGCCAGACUCCUACGGGAGGCAGCAGUGAGGAAUAUUGGUCAAUGGUCGGGAGACUGAACCAGCCAAGCCGCGUGAGGGAGGAAGGUACAGAGUAUCGUAAACCUCUUUUGUCAGGGAACAAAGACUGGGACGCGUCCCCGGAUGAGUGUACCUGAAGAAAAAGCAUCGGCUAACUCCGUGCCAGCAGCCGCGGUAAUACGGAGGAUGCGAGCGUUAUCCGGAUUUAUUGGGUUUAAAGGGUGCGUAGGCGGGACCUUAAGUCAGCGGUAAAAUUGCGGUGCUCAACGCCGUAGAGCCGUUGAAACUGGGGCUCUUGAGUGAGCGAGAAGUAUGCGGAAUGCGUGGUGUAGCGGUGAAAUGCAUAGAUAUCACGCAGAACCCCGAUUGCGAAGGCAGCAUACCGGCGCUCAACUGACGCUGAGGCACGAAAGUGCGGGUAUCGAACAGGAUUAGAUACCCGCGUA